rnacentral:rRNA from 1 species
UUCCUACGGGAGGCAGCAGUGGGGAAUAUUGGACAAUGGGCGGAAGCCUGAUCCAGCAACGCCGCGUGAGGGAUGACGGCCUUCGGGUUGUAAACCUCUUUCAGCACAGACGAAGCGCAAGUGACGGUAUGUGCAGAAGAAGGACCGGCCAACUACGUGCCAGCAGCCGCGGUAAUACGUAGGGUCCGAGCGUUGUCCGGAAUUAUUGGGCGUAAAGGGCUCGUAGGCGGUCUGUCGCGUCGGGAGUGAAAACCAGGUGCUUAACACCUGGCCUGCUUUCGAUACGGGCAGACUAGAGGUACUCAGGGGAGAAUGGAAUUCCUGGUGUAGCGGUGAAAUGCGCAGAUAUCAGGAGGAAC